rnacentral:lncRNA from 1 species
CAUUUCUCAAGUUUGCUUCCUGAUACCAGAAUUUUUAUUACUUUUCUUUCAUCUUGAUGGAGGGCCUGGGUGACUGACAGGCCCGCAUCAGAUGGAUGUCUCAUAAUUUACAAGCUGUCAUUUCUUUUUUCUAAGCAGCACCUUUUGUUAGGGAUGAUAAAACACAUCCCUCUGAGAUUUGAUUUUUUUUUUUAAUUCAAACUGGAGGAGUGAAAGUUUCCCAUGGUUACAGCUAUUGUUAUCAAAUUUUUUAAUGCCAGUCUUGGUAUGGUAAAGUCUCUAGUCCCUGGGAGGGUAGUUGAGAGGUCAGUAUCACAGUCUGUCACUGUGAGGCGACCCCAGCCUGUUCAUUAUGAAAAAUCAGAAAGACUUUUCUUUCCUGCCCGUCGAAUUGCUUUAAGAGAGCUCUGCAUAUUUUUCAGCUCUUUAUUCAGUUAAUGUUGGAUUGUAUAAACAAAGCUCACCUAUUACAUCGGCAGCAGAGCACCCUUUCUCCUUCUGGAAAUGACUACAGUCUCAGCGAGUAGUUGAGCAGUUACCAGCACCCCUGCAUGGCUUUUCCAGGUACUAAUUAAUCUGUUUUGGAAGGUAACAGCAGAAAGGUCCCAGGGGAGUAGGUUGGGAGUCUGUUGCGCUGAGCGAGUGAAAAUCAGAUUGGCUUGUAAAAAUAGAGAACUUUUAAGCCAUAGAACAUCUGUAGAUUGCACAAUAUGUAUUUGUUGUUAAUCUGCCAGUACACAUCUUUCUGACUUUUCCACUGAUAUGUUUCUUCCUUACAUAAUAUUAAAGGAAGGAAGAAUAAUGGUAGAAUUUAAGCACAUUUCUCUCGCUUAAUCUCAAAUUUAGGGUCCAGAAAAAUAUAGGGUACACG